GUGAAUCAUCGAAUCUUUGAACGCAAAUUGCACUCUCUGGUAUUCCGGAAAGUAUGCCUGUUUGAGGGUCAGUUUAAUUAAAAUCGGGGUUGUUGCUGCCUUUCGUGGUGACGGGUCGGGAUUUGGUCGUCUUACCUUCGGUUUAGUUACUUAAAAUUUUUGCAUGAUUUUUGUCCGUCUUUAAUUAGUUUACGUACGUUUGAGUUCUCGAAUGAAUA
rnacentral:misc_RNA from 1 species